GCAGAGGAACCUUUAGCAGGUCAACGACUUGAAGAAGCAGAAGAACCUUUAGCAGGUCAACUACUUGAAGAAGCAGAGGAACCUUUAGCACAGGUAUGUAUUAGCAGGUGUAAAACUACAUCAAAUGGCCUGGCUAAACAUACAAACCUGUCUCUUGGUGUCCUCAGAAUCAGGGUGUCUGGAGUGUAUUGAAGUGUGUGUCUGGUGUAUUUCGUCUGUGUGUCUGUACAUAUGUGUGUCUGUGCUGAGCCCAUGGACCUGCACAUUGUCAGCGGGAUCAGAAUGGAAGCUUGUUUUUUCCCCAAAAAAAUUCAGGACCAUUCUGCACACUAUGAAUAAAGUAUGACUUCCUGGAAAC